UAGUUAAGAGCCAUAUUUGAAGGAUAUGAAUGUAUCCAGUUUUUAAAAUAAUAGGAAAUGUGCAUUCUCUGUCAUCAGGCGGGCCGUGAUUGAUGACAAGUAUCAAGAUAUCAAAUGAACGGAGUCAUUGUUGUUGUGGCGGAUUUGGGGGCUUUAAUCCCAAAUUGCAGGAGUAUUUUCUUAAUACUAAACCCUUAAAUCCAGGGAUCAACUGCAGCCUGUGAGAUGGAGGGGGGGUCUGGUUUGCAGAGGCUUCUCGCUAGUGUUGUUGGCAGUUAUUAAAAGCAUGAUGCAUAAGGUUGUCAGACAGGCAGGAAGGAUGUAGGAAUGCAGAGGGCUGCAAAACUGUUUGUCUGCGGCUGAAACGACAGAACGGGGAAAAAGAUUUCUGCUCCUUUGAGGCUACCAGGGAAGGAGGUCUGAGGCUGUAUAUUUCCAUCUUGGCUGCAGUUACCCACAGUGACAUCACAGACCUGCCGGGCCCCAAUGAGUCUUCAAGGUCACCUCCUUGAAACAUCAUCUCUCCUUUGUCCUCUUCCUCCGUCAGGAAGCCCAUCACAUAGCCAGUCCAGCUGGACUUGGAUACUUUGCCUCAUUUAAUACAAACUGUGCAAAUGUUGCCAACCUGUCUCUAGUACAAUAUGGGAUUAAACCAGGCAAUAUAAAGUGGCUAACUGAUGUAGUGAAAUGUGUAAUGGGUGUAGGUCUCAGCGGAGGGGGUUUAUCUUCUAAAUCCCAGCAGUUGGCCCUGCUAUCAUGGACAAUGACCCAAAAUAAUGUCAACAGCUCAUUUCCACCAGAGCCGGGCUUAUGUGUGGGGGAGUGUGUAUGUGUGUGUGUCCUGGGGACACAGAGGUAUACAGUACAUAAGCUUCUGGCAGUGAUACUGGCUCAACAGCAGGCUGAUGUGAUUGAUAUGAGUUUUGCUCUGCUCACCACUUUUAGGGUCAAAGAAUCCAUAAGAGGUUAAAUUUAAAGGUGCUGAGUCAAAGAAUUGCUGAUUUAAUUCAAGUUAUCACUCGAAGGUUUGUUGCUUUUGUUUGAAGUUAUGUACAGAAAAGAAAUCUCCAACUAUUCAAUAAAUAAAUGUUGGAAAAGUUCUA